UACGUAGGGGGCAAGCGUUAUCCGGAUUUAUUGGGUGUAAAGGGGGCGCAGACGGCGCGGCAAGUCCGGAGUGAAAUCCCAGGGCCCAACCCUGGGGCUGCUCUGGAAACUGCCGGGCUGGAGUGCUGGAGGGGCAGGCGGAAUUCCUAGUGUAGCGGUGAAAUGCGUAAAUAUUAGGAGGAACACCGGUGGCGAAGGCGGCCUGCUGGACAGCGACUGACGUUGAGGCCCGAAAGCGUGGGGAGCAAACAGG
rnacentral:rRNA from 1 species